CCCAGUAUUAAAUCAAGCAAACGUCCUAAUCAGAUGAGCUCUCUUCAUUCAUCCAAAAAGCAAAAAAAGGAGAUGGUAGGUAUGGUAAAGUGAUCACAUCCACGAUCCUAGUUCCCCACCCCUUCUUGUAGCCAUGACCUCUGAAGACCUCCUACUGUCUGUGCAUCCAGCCAUGUGACUUGCUUUAUCCAAUGGGAUAUUAGUGGGCAAGACACAAGCAGAUGCUUGAAAGAGCACUUACAUGUUUCCAUGUGCAUUUCUGUUCUUGUCUUCUGUCGCCACCAAGACAACGUGCCCCAGCUAGUCUGCUGGAGGGUAGGACACAAACGUGGGAGCAGAGUUGAAUCAUCAGCCAUCCCAGCCAAGAUGGCCAAUAGUCAGACAAUUACCAGAUACAAAGGCCACCUGAAUAAUGCUGUACAGGGAGAUGAAGGCAAGAUCGGAGUGGAACCAGUCUGGGCAUGUGUCACCUUGUGAUCAGUUCCUGAUAGUGAGGGUGUCUCCAGAUCUUUGAAUUCGAAUCUAUGGAUUCAACCAUACACAGCCUCAGAUGAAUGUAACCAAGUGAUUGUAAAGGAAAAACAGAGCAGUGCUGUCAUAGUUUUUCAUGAACGCAUGUAUGUAUCUUGUAUAUAUAUUAUUCUUCUUUGCCUCCUUCCUGUCUGAAAUCUCCACCAGACUCUAAGGUCUAUGAGGAUGGAGAUCAAUUCUGUCUUGUUCACCACCGUAUGCCCCAUGCCUAGCACGGUGCAAGGCAUACGGUAAUGGUUUAGUAAUCAUUUACUGAAUAAAUAAGUGAGAUCUGGAAACAAGGCAGAGGAAGAGCAAGACAGAGCCCGGUUAACGGAAUCAUCCUUCGGCCCCCACCUUGGGCGCCCCAGAUGUAGUAUGUGGGCCAGUGGGCAAUUUCCUGUCACAUUUACAGCCACUGUCUUUAUGUGGCUCAGGGAUAGGUCUGGGUCAGGUAGUCACGUUAGGGCUGCAGGAGACAGUGACACAUGUCCUCUAAAGCUGCAAAGAGCUAAAAAUAUUAGUCUUCAAAGGCUAAUUCACUCAUAAAGCGUUACCCGAAACCCUCUGUGUAUACAGCUCUAAGACAUUAUGGUUGGCUUUUCCCCUCCUCUAACCCAACUGUCUGGCCCAACAUCUCGCCAUCCAGACUCUAGCUAACAGCUGAUAGAGAGAAGCUUCCCAGAAACUGCCCAGAAUGUCCAUUGCUGGGAUUCUUCUUGUCUUAUUUCUACGCCAGCUUCUAGGCUGCUAGCCCUUGUCCUUAGCUGCCAUUUUGGCCUCUGCUCCUCCUCCUUGUGACCAUGCUAAGAAGCUCCACCCUGAACUUGGUUACUCCCCGAGGGUGUCUUUGGCCCGGCUUCGGGGUCACACUGGCCUGGAGCUGCCAGUAGGGUCCACCAAGGCUCAGAAGGCUUGGCUAUGCUCUGGUCGACGCCGAGGACACCCAACUCCGCUCCUGCCAGCCCAUGAACUCCAGCGGCUCUGGCUUGCCCUGCUACUGCUCUCCUUCUUGUCCGUUUCCUCUGUGGCCCUUCGUGGUUGUCCCUUCUCUAUCCUUUCUUCAUUAAAAAAAAAUGAAAGUGGAAAUUAGUGGGAAACCUAAAGCUUUCCAGUAUA